rnacentral:lncRNA from 1 species
AAAAAGUGCCUAUGUGGAAAAAAUGGCAAGAUUCUUUUAAAUUGAAAUUUUCGAGGUCUGGAAUCUCCGUCCAAAAAAGAGUAUAAUUUACUCCCUUAUGAAGCCUGGUAGUUUUCCUCAGAUGAAUUUUUAUCCCGUUGUCCCUAAUGGAAUUUGGAAUCCGAACAUCUCUUGAGGUGGAUGAUUAAGUUAGAAGUAUCUUCCUUCGAUUCCUUCUAUCUUUUUUCUGGUCUUAACUCUUGGAGAACGUAGAAGUCCACUUCUUCCGGUCUUAAUGAUUGAAGAAUGAUCUUAGGCCUUAGCAAUUUUCAAAUUAAAGGCACAUCUAAAUAUCAAUAAUAUGGUAAUAAUUUCAAAUUGUUGAAAUACCUAUUAGUAUUAAUUAACAUAUCUUAGCCUUAUAUCUUAAUCUCAAAGUGAAUGGAUCCCAUCAUAGUUUCAACCAUUGAAAAUAUUCAUUGUAAUAUAUAGAUGAAUAGAUUCCUGCCUUAGGAAGGAAUCUUCUCUACUAUCGUAUGAAGCUUAGUAUGUUAGGAUCGCUUCUUAGGAUAAAUUUUCAUCCCAUCGUCAACCCCGUAUAUAUGUAUCAGAAAUUGAGCAUCUCUUGACGAGGAUUAAGUAUAUCGAAUCUUCUCUUUUGUCCUAAUUCUUAGAGUACAUGGAACCAUUUCUGUCUUUAAUGAAUGCAAAUCGAUCCAAGCAUCUUAAAAUCACAUCUGAAUUAAUAUGAGUCGCUCCAUUUAUUCAAAUGUUUAUACAAUGGUCAAUUAUUGGCAAAGGUGGGAACUUGGACAUGAGUCCAUAUUUUACAGUCGAUCUCACAAUCAAUGACUCGACUUGGACUCCAAAGCUAGUUUAUUGCGUCCUCAGGAAAAGACUUAACACUAUGG